UACGAAGGGGGCGAGCGUUGUUCGGAAUUACUGGGCGUAAAGGGCGCGCAGGCGGCUCUGAAAGUCAGAUGUGAAAGCCCCGGGCUUAACCUGGGAAUUGCAUUUGAUACUCUGGAGCUUGAAUGUGGGAGAGGAGAGUGGAAUUCCCAGUGUAGAGGUGAAAUUCGUAGAUAUUGGGAAGAACACCGGUGGCGAAGGCGGCUCUCUGGACCACAACUGACGCUGAGGCGCGAAAGCGUGGGGAGCAAACAGG
rnacentral:rRNA from 1 species